UGAUAGCUGCUGUGGCACGGA
rnacentral:miRNA from 1 species